GAUGAACGCUGGCGGCGUGCCUAAUACAUGCAAGUCGAGCGAACAGACGAGGAGCUUGCUCCUCUGACGUUAGCGGCGGACGGGUGAGUAACACGUGGAUAACCUACCUAUAAGACUGGGAUAACUUCGGGAAACCGGAGCUAAUACCGGAUAAUAUAUUGAACCGCAUGGUUCAAUAGUGAAAGACGGUUUUGCUGUCACUUAUAGAUGGAUCCGCGCCGCAUUAGCUAGUUGGUAAGGUAACGGCUUACCAAGGCAACGAUGCGUAGCCGACCUGAGAGGGUGAUCGGCCACACUGGAACUGAGACACGGUCCAGACUCCUACGGGAGGAAGCAGUAGGGAAUCUUCCGCAAUGGGCGAAAGCUUGACGGAGCAACGCCGCGUGAGUGAUGAAGGUCUUCGGAUCGUAAAACUCUGUUAUUAGGGAAGAACAAAUGUGUAAGUAACUAUGCACGUCUUGACGGUACCUAAUCAGAAAGCAACGGCUAACUACGUG
rnacentral:rRNA from 1 species